UUUCUUUCUUUCUUUCUCUCUGUCGUCUUUCAUUUCCUGUGGUGUUUACUCUUUUACGUGAGGAGUAGUCUGGAGAGGAAUAUAUGAUAUCUGAUGUGUGGAACAUUUUUGCGUAAAUAUAAAGUGACAGUGACAGCUUUGAUCUACUUGUCAAUAUUAAUGAUAAAUUUCUUCCUACUUGCGAAUGUGUGCUCUAUGGAAGAAGUUGUAAUUUAUUUUGAAGUUAUAAUAUUCACUUGCGUCAAGUUUUGAGACUUGAUACUCUCUUUUCUUAUUCUCGAUUCAGCGUUAGACAAGCACAUGCUG
rnacentral:misc_RNA from 1 species